rnacentral:rRNA from 1 species
AUUUAGCCAGCCACAGCAUUCAAAUGAAUGAACUAAAUUUGGUAAUAGAUGCAGUUAAUAGCGGAAUAAACGUUAUAAACAAACUAAAUGAAGAAAAAGACAGGAAUCAACAAAUAGAAAUUUUGAUAUUCAAUCUACAACAUUUCACAGAAUAUAUCGAAGAUAUAGAACUAGGUAUGCAAUUAACUAGGCUCGGUAUAUUUAAUCCAAAAUUAUUAAAACAAGACUACCUGGAACAAAUAAAUUCUGAGAAAAUACUAAAUAUAAAAACCUCCACAUGGCUAAAAUCCGAUACCAACGAAAUUCUAAUAAUUUCCAACAUUCCCAAAGACAUUACAAAAGUACCAAUCUAUAAAAUCGUUCCGUAUCCAGACGAAUUAAAUAACAUGUUAACAGAUAUGACAUACGACAAGUACUACAUAAAAAAUGAAGAAGUAUGUGUUAAAGAAACUAGAUUGAAAACCAAUGACAAUUGUAUAAAAGGAAUUUUAAUGCAAAUUCCCACUAAAUGUCCAUAUUCCAAAACUUUUCAAAACUUUCAAAUAAACUUUAUUGAACCCAAUAUACUAAUCACAUAGAAUCUUCCAAAAACAUGGCUAAACCAGAAUUGUGUAAACCAAGAAAUCAUAGCGGAAGGAAAUACCAUUAUAAAAAUCUACAACUGUUCAAUCCAAUUAAAUGAAUUUACAAUAUCAAACACAAUGUUAGAUUUUGCCCAGAAUGUUUAUGUCAACAACAACAUAACUAAAAUAAAACCACUGUCGUAUGUCCAAACUAAUGAAAUAAUUAUGCAAUACACCAAAUAUAGUAACCUAUUACAAAUAAGUCUACUAAUUUCAUUUGUCAUAAUUAUAUUAGUACUACUAAGUUAUGUAGCUGUUAAAUUUAAGAAAACUUCUAAAAGAGUCACGGUUAAAUGUAUUAACCCUAUAAUAGAAGCAGAAGAGGAACCAACCUCAGCCACCGCACUUGACAGCCCGUCACUAUACCCGAGGGUAAUCGCCUAGGGACUGGCUAAUAACAAACGUUGGGGGAGUGACAUAUCCAUAAUUCCCCACAUCCCAUACACAUUAUGUUUAUGUACAAUUCAUCCACCCCAUCCACACAAGUAACAGGACCCCCCCACUCAAGAAUCAAUAACUGUUUCUUCCCAUACUCCAAGCUAGAGCCCCCCAUAAUAUAAACAAUGGACCACAUUGUUUCAUCAACAUUAGAAUCACGCCACUCUCGAGAAAUCGAUUCUUUAGAAUCACGCCACUCAUGAGGACCAAUCAAAGCUAGACAUAAAACCAACGAGUAUCACAUUCCUAGCUCCGUCAUGUAAUGCAACACCGAUCGCCAGCAGUGGAUGCCUUUCAUCAAAGCCGACGCAUCCCCAAAUAUCGAUCCAGGCACGUACGCCACCGACACGAAGAUGCAGCCGAGGAAAGCAACGCCCGAAGCCAGAGUCGGGAGUUCCAAGAGAAGGGCACAUGGAAACUAGCCAGCAGCAGAGAGAUCAGUUCCGUUUGAGACAAGCAGACCCAAAGUCAAGUCGGGGAAUUCAUUUAAAUCUUGUGACAUAAAGAUAUUUAAGUUGUAAAAUAAAAGUCUUUUUUAAAAAACUUAAAAUCGAGUUGCGGAUAUUUAACUAUAUAUGUAUAUCGCACUAAUCGAGGCUAAGCUGCAAAUAAACAUUAGACGCCGUGGUUAAAAUCCCUCCCUGAGGAACCGCCACGUAAAAUAAAGCUGAGAGAUCAGAUUCAUUCUGUCCCUAUCUACUAUCUAGCGAAACCACAGCCAAGGGAACGGGCUUGGAAUAAUUAGCGGGGAAAGAAGACCCUUUUGAGCUUGACUCUAAUCUGGCAGUGUAACGAGACAUAAGAGGUGUAGCAUAAGUGGGAGAUAUUAGAUUUCGGUUUGGUAUCGACAAUCAAAUACCACUACUCUUAUUGUUUCCAUACUUACUUGAUUAAAUGGAACGUGUAUCAUUUCCUAGCCAUUAUAUGGAUAUAUUUAUUAUAUCUUAUGGUAUUGGGUUUUGAUGCAAGCUUCUUGAUCAAAGUAUCACGAGUUUGUUAUAUAAUCGCAAACAAAUUCUUUAAUGAGAAGAUGCAUUUAUGUAUUUUCAAUUUGGUGUAACUCCAAUUACUCAGGUAUGGUCCAAUUCAAGGACAUUGCCAGGUAGGGAGUUUGACUGGGGCGGUACAUCUCUCAAAUAAUAACGGAGGUGUCCCAAGGCCAGCUCAGUGCGGACAGAAACCACACAUAGAGCAAAAGGGCAAAUGCUGACUUGAUCUCGGUGUUCAGUACACACAGGGACAGCAAAAGCUCGGCCUACCGAUCAUUUUGGUUUAAAGAGUUUUUAACAAGAGGUGUCAGAAAAGUUACCAUAGGGAUAGCUGGCUUGUGGCGGGCAAGCGUUCAUAGCGACGUCGCUUUUUGAUCCUUCGAUGUCGGCUCUUCCUAUCAUUGUGAAGCAAAAUUCACCAAGCGUUGGAUUGUUCACCCAUGCAAGGGAACGUGAGCUGGGUUUAGACCGUCGUGAGACAGGUUAGUUUUACCCUACUUAUGACAAAACGUUGGGCGACAGCAUUCCUGCGUAGUACGAAAGGAACCGCAGGUACGGACCAAUGGCACAAUACUUGUUCGAGCGAACAGUGGUAUGGCGCUACGUCCGUUGGAUUAAGCCUGAACGCCUCUAAGGUCGUAUCCGUGCUGGACUGCAAUGAUAAAUAAGGGGCAAUUUGCAUUGUAUGGCUUCUAAACCAUUAAAAGUUUAUAAUUUAUUUCAUGAACGACAAUGGAUGUGAUGCCAAUGUAAUUUGUAACAUAGUAAAUUGGGAGGAUCAUCGAUCACCUGAUGCCGCGCUAGUUGCAUAUAAAAACAAUGACAAAGCCUAGAAUCAAUUGU